rnacentral:rRNA from 1 species
AACGAACGCUGGCGGCAGGCCUAACACAUGCAAGUCGAGCGCCCCGCAAGGGGAGUGGCAGACGGGUGAGUAACGCGUGGGAACCUACCUCUUGGUGCGGAAUAACUUCGGGAAACCGGUGCUAAUACCGCAUACGCCCUUUGGGGGAAAGAUUUAUCGCCAAGAGAUGGGCCCGCGUCGGAUUAGCUUGUUGGUGAGGUAAAGGCUCACCAAGGCGACGAUCCGUAGCUGGUCUGAGAGGAUGAUCAGCCACACUGGGACUGAGACACGGCCCAGACUCCUACGGGAGGCAGCAGUGGGGAAUAUUGGACAAUGGGCGCAAGCCUGAUCCAGCCAUGCCGCGUGAGUGAAGAAGGCCUUAGGGUUGUAAAGCUCUUUCGACGGGGAAGAUAAUGACGGUACCCGUAGAAGAAGCCCCGGCUAACUUCGUGCCAGCAGCCGCGGUAA